AUAAUUAGACAACAUUCUGGAGAUACUGUCGCUCUGUUCGCCGCUCCUAUCCCUUCUACUUCUUCUUCUCUGUAAACUGUGAAGUCCAACCGGUAGGUGCAAGAUAGCAGCCUCUCUACCCUUAUGCGCAUUUAACCUCCACUUCCAUGGCCCUCACUUCCACUCUCCCUCUAUACUCUCAUCCCAAGAGGCUUGGCCUUCAAGCGUUGGCUUCGGACCACGGCCGCUGUCUUGGUCAUGAUUCCGCUUGGUUUAUUACUAGGAGACGUUACUCCAGGUCCAAGAGAUUGGUGGUAGCGGCAGCGUACGGUGCGGAGGGAGGCGCGAGGCGGCGUGUUUACAGACAGUCGCAGGCGAAGCAGCCUCUCAGUAGUGCUCCGAAGCAGAUUGCAACCUUUGUGGCGCCCGCUGGCGUUUUUAUCGCCGCUACUUUUGUUUUAUGGAAAUUGGUGGAGAAACUCCUUAUGCCGAAGCCAUCUAGGUCUUCAUCUGUUGAAAAUAAAUCUCCUUCACAAGGAGUGAAGUGGUCUUUUGCCCCAGGAACAAAUCUAUUGUCAGGUGUUACUGCUAAGAUUGAUAGACAGUCAAAGCUGACACUCAAUGAGUUUGCCAAGGAACUUAGGGCAUUCAGCAGUGUUGAUAUGUCAGGACGCAACUUUGGAGAUGAAGGACUGUUUUUUCUUGCCGAGAGCUUAGGUUACAAUCAGAUUGUUGAGGAAGUAAGCUUUGCUGCUAAUGGAAUAACAGCCAGAGGAAUGAAAGCCUUUGAUGGUGUUCUUGAAGCAAAUAUGGUAUUGAAAACCCUUGAUCUUUCAGGCAAUCCCAUUGGAGAUGAAGGAAUAAAGUGCCUAUGUGAUAUUUUGGUGAAUAACACUGGCAUUCAAAAGCUCCAGCUAAACAGUGUUGACUUAGGGGAUGAGGGUGCAAAGGCAAUUGCUGAGUUGUUGAAGAAAAAUUCAACCUUACGUGCCCUUGAACUCAAUAACAAUAUGAUAGACUAUUCUGGAUUUACAAGUUUAGCAGGAGCACUUCUUGAGAAUAAGACUAUCCGCAAUUUUCACCUAAAUGGUAAUUAUGGUGGUGCUCUGGGGGCUAAUGCAUUGGCCAAAGGACUUGAGGGGAACAAGUCUUUACGGGAACUUCAUUUACAUGGAAAUUCAAUUGGCGAUGAAGGAAUUCGCUCCUUGAUUUCAAGCUUAUCUUCACAUAAAGGAAAAAUUACCCUACUGGACUUUGGGAACAACUCAAUAACGGCAAAAGGUGCCUUUCAUGUUGCGGAAUAUAUCAAAAGGAGCAAGAACUUGCUAUGGGUGAAUCUUUACAUGAAUGACAUUGGUGAUGAGGGUGCAGAAAAAAUUGCUGAUGCUUUGAAAGAAAACCAGACAGUAACAACCAUAGACCUGGGUGGAAAUAAUAUUCGAGCCAAGGGGGUUGGUGCGAUAGCUGAAGCCUUAAAAGAUAACACUGUCAUUACAAAUUUGGAACUUGGUUAUAAUCCCAUUGGAGCAGAUGGAGCAAAGGCUUUGUCUGAAGUUCUUAAAUUCCAUGGAAAUGUAAAAACACUAAAGCUUGGUUGGUGUCAGAUAGGACCAAAGGGUGCAGAGUUUGUUGCAGAUAUGUUGAGAUAUAAUAAUACCAUAUCAAUUCUGGACUUGCGAGCAAAUGGACUUAGAGAUGAAGGUGCAGCCUGUCUGGCUCGCAGCUUGAAAGUUGUUAAUGAAACCUUAACUUCACUUGACUUGGGAUUCAACGAGAUUAGGGAUGAUGGUGCUUUUGCCAUUGCUCAAGCACUCAAGGCCAAUGAAGAUGUCACAGUAACAUCGCUCAACCUUGCGAGUAACUUUCUUACAAAAUUUGGGCAGAGUGCAUUGACAGAUGCAAGAGAUCAUGUUUACGAGAUGAGUGAAAGGGAAGUCAAUAUUUUCUUCUAGGAUUUCUCUUUAUGGAGAGAGAGUUAUGUCGACAAUCGGAUUUUUGGUAUAAUUCUUCAUUUGAUUGAACCUAUGGAUGAUAUGGAGUUUUGAUUCUCUUCUGAGGCGGAAAUUGUUGGUCUCUAAAUUAAACUUUGUAUAGCUAAUAGCUGGUUGAAAAUACAAAUACAUUAAACAUAAGUUGGUAGUUCUAGUGCUAUAUCUUGGUCGCAAUUGCAGACAAAAGUAAAUAUUGCCCAUUUUCAAUUAAUCAGAGAACGAGCAUUGGUGGCAUGAAAAAAAAAGGAAAGAGAGAAAGACCAUUAUGAGCAAUUGAAGUUUCUCCGGAUGCGGCAAAAUUAAUUUUGUUUUUUGAAUUGAGUUAUGAGAAUCAUGUGCUCUCGAUUUAUUUUUACCCGAAAACCAGAUCUUUUUUUGAUUUUUUUGAUGGUGGUGUAGAAAACGAUUUAGAGAAAUUUCUUUUACUAAAUUCCUGAGCCUUCCUUU